GACGAACGCUGGCGGCGUGCUUAACACAUGCAAGUCGAACGGAAAGGCCCUGCUUUUGUGGGGUGCUCGAGUGGCGAACGGGUGAGUAACACGUGAGUAACCUGCCCUUGACUUUGGGAUAACUUCAGGAAACUGGGGCUAAUACCGGAUAGGAGCUCCUGCUGCAUGGUGGGGGUUGGAAAGUUUCGGCGGUUGGGGAUGGACUCGCGGCUUAUCAGCUUGUUGGGGGGGUAGUGGCUUACCAAGGCGAUGACGGGUAGCCGACCUGAGAGGGUGAUCGGCCGCACUGGAAGUGAGACGCGGUCCAGACUCCUACGGGAGGCAGCAGUAGGGAAUCUUCCGCAAUGGGCGAAAGCCUGACGGAGCAAGGGGACGUGUGUGAUGAAGGUCUUCGGUUCGUAAAGCCCUGUUACGGGGGAAGAACAGAUUUGGAAGGAAACGUACAGUGAGUGACGGUACCGGGUAAAGAAGCACCGGCUAACUACGUG
rnacentral:rRNA from 1 species